rnacentral:rRNA from 1 species
AACGAACGCUGGCGGCAUGCCUAACACAUGCAAGUCGAACGAGACCUUCGGGUCUAGUGGCGCACGGGUGCGUAACGCGUGGGAACCUGCCCUUAGGUUCGGAAUAACUCCCCGAAAGGGGUCCUAAUACCGGAUAAUGUCUUCGGACCAAAGAUUUAUCGCCUUUGGAUGGGCCCGCGUUGGAUUAGCUAGUUGGUAGGGUAAAAGCCUACCAAGGCGACGUUCCAUAGCUGGUCUGAGAGGAUGAUCAGCCACACUGGGACUGAGACACGGCCCAGACUCCUACGGGAGGCAGCAGUGGGGAAUAUUGGACGAUGGGCGAAAGCCUGAUCCAGCAAUGCCGGGUGAGUGAUGCAGGCCUUAGGGUUGUAAAGCUCUUUUACCCGGGAUGAUAAUGACGGUACCGGGAGAAUAAGCUCCGGCUAACUCCGUG